AUAUGCUUUUGUAUGGUCACGUCCCAACUCAUGAGGAUUUCAAACCCGUCGUUUGCGAUGCCUGCAACAAAGUCGUUAAGCCUCAGGACGUCCUGACUCAUUACGGUAGUUGGGGAAUAGUUGAACAGUGAGUAGAGAGGAGCGUGUUCACCUCGAGCCCUCCAGAGCCAUGCAUAGCAAGAACCAGAGGAGACACUGCUCGCCCAGCAGCUCCAGGACCCCUCUGGUUCCUGUCAAGGCCAAGAUGUCGGUGGGCCAGAGCGAGGUGGAGCCCCUUCCCUUCAGGGUUCCUCGUGAUUACCCACACUCACGCUUCAGCAAGGCGCCGCUGGCCGUCUAUCCACCCAAAGGAGCCCGAGCCAAAGCCUGCGUGUCUUUACCAGUGGUGAGUCUGGAGAAGAUGCCGUGUUUCAACCGAUCGGAGGGAGCACACAUCAAAGUCAACUCCACGUCUCCCACGGCGGGGUCUUCUCUUUCCUUCUCCUCCACGUCUUCCUCUCCAUCUUCCGCUCCUCUCAAGUCCUCCUUGACGUCACCAGCAUCUCAGAAGAACCAGGAGAAGUUCAUGAACGGUCGUGGUCCUGUGACGCCUCGCUCCACCACACCCCCCUCGCUGAUUGACAGGCGGCCCAGCCCAUCACGGUCACCCUUGGAGAAACGGCCCGCCCCCUCGCCCUCCCCACAGGACAGGAGACCCGCGGCCUCCACGUCUCCAUCCCUAUUGGACCGGAGACCGAUAGUCCCUCCUUCUCCACCAGACAAGAAGCAUCAGAAUGGAGCCAAAGGCGUGCGGCACCGGAGAGUGUCAGGUGAGUAGCAAACGCUUGUUUAAUGUACAGUCAAACCAAAAAUGAAUCCGACACCAGAUAUAAUGUUUUAUUUUUAUUUUUUAACUAGUGGGUGCAGGACACUAUAGUUAAUGUAUGUAAGUUAGGGUAGCAAAAUAAAGUGAACUGUGACACAUUAUACCCA
ensembl:lncRNA